rnacentral:rRNA from 1 species
AUGCAGUCGAGGGGUAACAGGGAGUGCUUGCACUCUGCUGACGACCGGCGCACGGGUGCGUAACGCGUAUGCAAUCUACCUCUUACUGAGGGAUAGCCCAUGGAAACGUGGAUUAAUACCUCAUAGUAUUAUAGACUGGCCUCAGUUUAUGAUUAAAGGUUACGGUAAGAGAUGAGCAUGCGUCCUAUUAGCUAGAUGGUAAGGUAACGGCUUACCAUGGCUACGAUAGGUAGGGGUCCUGAGAGGGAGAUCCCCCACACUGGUACUGAGACACGGACCAGACUCCUACGGGAGGCAGCAGUGAGGAAUAUUGGACAAUGGGCGAGAGCCUGAUCCAGCCAUGCCGCGUGCAGGAAGACGGCCCUAUGGGUUGUAAACUGCUUUUACAGAGGAAGAACCCUCCUUACGUGUAAGGAGCUGACGGUACUCUAUGAAUAAGGAUCGGCUAACUCCGUGCCAGCAGCCGCGGUAAUACGGAGGAUCCAAGCGUUAUCCGGAAUCAUUGGGUUUAAAGGGUCCGUAGGCGGGUCUAUAAGUCAGUGGUGAAAGUCUGCAGCUUAACUGUAGAACUGCCAUUGAUACUGUAGACCUUGAAUUAGUAUGAAGUGGUUUAGAAUGUGUAGUGUAGCGGUGAAAUGCAUAGAUAUUACACAGAAUACCGAUUGCGAAGGCAGAUCACUAAUACUAUAUUGACGCUGAUGGACGAAAGCGUAGUAGCGAACAGGGAUUAGAUACCCUGGUAGUCUA